rnacentral:lncRNA from 1 species
UCAUUAGUCAAUCUAGCCAGAGUCACUGCAAAUGACUUAUACGGCACUACACUGCACACAAGUUGAAACCACUGAAAAUGUAUGUACGACAAGACUGGGUGUAAUAUAAUUAUGCUCAAUACUACGCUCUCAUGAUAGUUGUGCGAUAAAUCACUAGUCACCUACGAGUCGAAAUCACCUAUAAUGGUCUGUACGACAAGACUGUGCACCUAAAUUGGAUCCAAUGUGAGCAUAGGGUACGGGAGGUGACAUUAUAUAUAGGCAUGUGCCAUAUCUCUGGCUAAUCACUAACACCGGGGUGCAGGUCUAUGAGCUCUAUGCUUCUCAAUUAAUCACAACCGUUAUUCACAUUCACAAUUCAUAAACUCACCUGGGCUUACCUGAGCGUCCACAGCACCACAAUUAUAUAUUAUGCAUCAUAUACUAAUUCAUAUACUAAACAUAAAUUUAUAUGCAUGGCAUUUCAAGGCAUACUUUCAUUUAAGCGCAUUUUCUGGGAAAAUAUCAAGUAUAUAAGUAUAUACUGAAAACCAAAAGACCACUCAUUGGUAUGUCUAAGGGUCGUAGCCCUGAGUCGCCCUUGACUGCGCUCGUCGUCGGAAUAAGUCUCCCCUAUAUGCAAAACAACUAUAAAAACGUUAAUUUAAAGCACAUAACCAAUACUAGCUAAUAACUUCUCAUACAUUGCUUAAAUGGGAUGUUUGAAUAUAUCAACGUGAUCUACACAACCUCACGAACAUCCCCAUAUUUUUAGAAAAACUUUCUGACAUCCCACGCGCUGGCAAGGGCACAGCAACAUGUGAGGCCACGCGCAGGGACCCUAACGAAAUCCCUUAACCCCGUUAGGAAUAUUCCAUUAAAAAGUAACAGAAACCGUUAAUUCUACCUAACGAUGUCAGAAUAUUCUGUCAACUCUGAUGGAAUAUUCUAUCUUCUUCUCCGGUUAGUCUCGCCAAUCGCCGUUACUGGAAACUGGAAAAUCACGAAAACCUUCAUAUCUCGUCCAAUUCUCAACCAAAUUCCACAAAACUUGAACCAAAUUGAAGCUUAGGACAAGUACAACAAAACCUUACCUUCCAAAAGUCCUAAAACUGACGGAACUCGCCGAAAAAUCCUUCGAUAUUCAUGCUAAACCUGCAACUCCUUAUUCCCGAGCUUCCCAACAUCCAAAUCACUUCAUUUUUCUUCUCCGAGCCUUGUGAAAACGAUCUAAAGCUCCUUAUAACUUCAAAACUCUCAGAAAACUACACAUUUACGUGUGCAUAAACAGUACCUCAAAUCAGAGGUUAUGGUUUCUCGAGUUUUUCAAGGUUUCACGUCCAAAUAAUAGUAUCACUAGGUUCCUGGGCUCGUAUGGAACUUGAAAAUGGUCUCCACAACCACGAUCCGUGAAGGGAUAGGUUGGUUGAGUUUCGUCUGUAUGUACGAUACGAAAAUGGAGAAGAACCGAGAGGGAAGAGAGAGAAAGAGAGGGUCAACGGGAGAGAGAGAGGGAAAGUGUGAAUGUGUGGUCCUAAUCUUCCUACAGCCAACCAAACAAUUAGAACCUUAAGUCCUUGAGUUCUAAUUGGUUCCAAAAUAUUUGGGACUUAACGAAUUGGUCCAAAUCCAAAAUUUAAAUCACACAACACCUUAAAUGCUCAAGGGCAUAUUUGACAUUUCACAUCUAAAAAUGUAAUAUUUCGGGACGGACUGUGACAAUAACCGUUGCCCAUCCCCAAAUAAGAUCAAGUGUUCAGUUCCCUUUCAUCGUAACAGAAAAGUUCGUACUAAAUAAAUUAGCACAAAAUAACACAUACAAGACAAUUCUCAAACGAAAAAGUGCACAUAAUGAUUUAACGAGUGGUACAUCUCGAAGAUCUCCAUUCAAUUUAGAAUGUGAAUUUCUGCAAAAUAAAUUGGAUAUAGGGUUUGAUUCCGACCUAAAUGUCUUCAUCAACCAUUUUCUUUAAGUCCAGACGUAGUCAAUUUUCAGUUGUUUUUUUUUUAUUUUAUAUAUAUAUAUAUAUAUAUAUAUAUAUGUCCCACUGCAUAAUGUUUGGAAAGUGAAAGGAAGGGGUUGAAUUUAACAUUGGAAGAGAAAUAUUAAUAGAUCAAUAGCUUAUGAACAAUCUUUUAUUGCUACAACUAGACAGUAGUACUUUGUAUCUCUUUUAAAAAUAGGGGAGAAGAGAUAGGAAUAGAACAAAUGUAACGUCCCGCCCCCGAAAUACUUAUUUUCGAGAAAUAAUUCUAAUGAUAGGCCCAAUUUAAACUCUUGUUUAAUUUACUGCCAUUAAUCACAAUUCUUUACUUCAAUUCCUUAAUUCCUCACAAAACUAUUUCCAUAUUUUAAUUAUCAAAACAUACAAUUAAAUUAUCAAUUUAAUCCCCAAAUUUCUUCUAUUAAAACAAUUUCUCAACAAAAGAUUAGUUCUCGAUUAUUUAGGGCUGCAUCCAACCCCUGUUAGACUGUCUACGUACCCUUGAGCAGGAUCAAGCCCUUCGUAGUUUACCAUUUAUUCUUUUAUCCAUUUAUUCUCAUUGUGAUCCAACCGUCAGAUCUCCGCCAAUUACUAGGAUUAGGUGGGGUCAACAAUUUAUUUUACAAACUUAGAAAUCCAAUUCGUACGUCGGAUUUCCGAUCAGUCAGUUCCUAAUAUCCUCAAAUAUUACGUUCUAUAAUGCAUUAGAGUUUGGUGACAAUCACUACUACAAUAUUAGCUUUAGGUGUCGGACGAUCCUGGCAGUUAAUAAGUCAUUUUGACGGAUAAAAGAUAUCUGACACAUAAUUUAUUUACCGUCGGAUUAAAGUUACUUUCUGUCGGAUAUAUCCGACAUAAAUUCCUGGCGGAUUUUUCCUGACGGAUUUAACCGCCAUAAAAUUAUUAUAACCCUCAGUAUUUUUGAAUUCUUUUUUUUUAAUAUUUUUAACAUAUUCUGCCAGUUUCUAAGCUAAUGGUGGCGGGUAUAACUAACAGAAAUUGACUAUUUUAUUAUUUUAAAAUAUUACAUUGAUUAAAAAUAAAUAAAUAAAUAAACAAAUGGUUUAAUUUUUUUUUUCACUCACAGUCCCAUUACCUAAUCUCUUAAUGUUUUUUUUUUUUUUACAAUUUUUUACACAUGCUAUCUCGGAGUAUAUACAAACAUAUUUGACGGUUGAAUCGUUGAAACUAGUUUCGUAGAAUGCAUAUCCUAUCAAAUUGAUAGAUUUAACAAACACUUAGGAGUUAAUGUUAUACUUCCAUUAAGUAUAAAAUAUUAUCCACUAGUGUAAUUAUUUUAAAUCGAAGAUCGAAUUCGUUCAAUGCAUUCUUAUAGGGUCGAGGAGUGUAGCUGUAAAAAAUCAUCAAAAUAGGAGCUAAAAUAACCGUUAAAUUGUGAUUUUUUGUUUAUAACCAUCGAAAAUUUUUGUUUCGUUACCUAAUCUCUGAAUGUUUGUUUUUUACGAUUUUUUACAUAUACAAUCUCGGAGUGUGUAAAAAUAAGUUUGACGGUUGGAUCGUUGAAAAAAGUUUCAUAGAAUGUAUAUUGCAUCAAAACUGUAGAUUAAACAAACACUUAGAGUUAAUAUUAUACUUCAAUUAAGUAUAAAAUAAGAUUUUGUGGUAUCCACUAGUGUAAAUAUUUUAAAUUGAAGAUCAAAUUUAAUAAUUACAUUCUUAUAGGGUUGGGGAGUGUAGCUGUAAAAAAUCAUCCAAAUCGGAGCUAAAAUAACCGUUAAAUUAUGAUUUUUCUGUUAUAACCGUUGAGAACUUUUGUUCCGUUACCUAAUCUCUGAAUGUUUGUUUUUUACGAUUUUUUAUGUAAGCAAUCUCGGAGUGUGUACAAAUAAGUUUGACGGUUGGAUCGUUGAAAAAAGUUUCGUAGAAUGCAUAUUGUGUCAAAACGGUAGAUUAAACAAACACUUGGAGUUAAUAUUAUACUUCUAUUAAGUAUAAAAUCCACUAGUGUAAAUAUUUUAAAUUAAAGAUCAAAUUUAUUCAUUACAUUCUUAUAGGGUCGAGGAGUGUAGCUGUAAAAAAUCAUCAAAAUCGGAGCUAAAAUAACCGUUAAAUUAUGAUUUUUCGUUUAUAACCGUCAAAAUUUUUUGUUCCAUUACGUAAUAUCUGAAUGUUUGUUUUUUACGAUUUUUUAUGUAUGCAAUCUUGGAGUGUGUACAAAUAAGUUUGACGGUUGGAUCGUUGAAAAACGUUUCGUAGAAUGUAUGUUGCGUCAAAACGGUAGAUUAAACAAACACUUGAGUUAAUAUUAUACUUCAAUUAAGUAUAGUGUAAAUAUGUUAAAUUAAAGAUCGAAUUUAUUCAUUACAUUCUUAUAGGGUCGAGGAGUGUAGCUGUAAAAAAUCAACAAAAUUGGAGCUAAAAUAACCGUUAAAUUGUGAUUUUUCGUUUAUAACCAUCGAAAUUUUUUGUUCCAUUACAUAAUCUCUGAAUGUUUGUUUUUUACGAUUUUUUACGUAUGCGAUCUUGUAGUAUCUACAAACAAGUUUAACAGUUGGAUCGUUAAAAAAUGCUUCGUAGAAUGCGUAUCGCAUCAAAACUGUAGAUUAAACAAACACUUAGAGUUAAUGUUAUACUUCCAUUAAGUAUAAAAUAAGAUUUUGUGGUAACCACUUGUGUAAAUAUUUUAAAUUGAAGAUCAAAUUUAUUCAUUACAUUCUUAUAGAGUCGAGGAGUGUAACUGUAAAAAAUCAUUAAAAUCGAAGCUAAAAUAACCGUUAAAUUGUGAAUUUUCGUUUAUAACCGUCGAAAACUUUUGUUCUUUACGAUUUUUGUUUUUUACGAUUUUUUAUGUAUGUGAUCUUGUAGUAUCUACAAACGAUUUUUUACGUAUGCAUAUCUCCGUUAAAUUUGCCUAAAUUUUGAAGUGGAAAAAGUAAUUUGUGCUAAAGUUUUAUUUAUGUUUUUCAAGUAUUGAUUAGACAAUAUUUAGUUUGUGUGAUGACAUUUUUAUUCUCCUUUUGUUUCUUUAUCGCAUAUUUUACAUGGAUUACUAUCUAUUAAACCAAAAGUGUAACAAUUAUCUAUUAAACCAAACAAUUAUUUAUUUAAUUUU